rnacentral:tRNA from 1 species
GUCGGAGUGGCGGAAUUUGGUAGACGCGCAAGGUUGAGGGCCUUGUGGGGCAUAGCCCUGUGGGGGUUCGAGUCCCCCCUCCGACACCA